UGGCUAGCUGAUAGAAUCGUGGACAUUUGC
rnacentral:piRNA from 1 species